GAUGAAGAACGUAGCGAAAUGCGAUAAGUAGUGUGAAUUGCAGAAUUCAGUGAAUCAUCGAAUCUUUGAACGCACAUUGCGCCCCUUGGUAUCCCGAGGGGCAUGCCUGUUCGAGCGUCAUUUCACCACUCAAGCCUGGCUUGGUGUUGGGCGACGUCCUCUUUGGGGACGCGCCUCGAAACGCUCGGCGGCGUGGCACCGGCUUUAAGCGUAGCAGAAUCUUUCGCUUUGGAAGUCGGGGCCCCGUCUGCCGGAAGACCUGCUCGCAAGGUUGAGCUCGGAUCAGGCAGGGAUACCCGCUGAACUUAAGCAUAUCAAUAAGCGGAGGA
rnacentral:misc_RNA from 1 species